AUGUCAGUUUCGUUAUUACAACCUUAUUUUUUUAUGUCAAAGACAAAAAGCUACGCGCAAAUUCUCAUUGGAUCUCGGUUGUUCUUAACAGCGAUGGCUAUUCAUUUAAGUCUUCGGGUAGCACCACCAGAUCUUCAACAAGGUGGAAAUUCUCGUAUUUCGUAUGUACAUGUUCCUGCGGCUCGGAUGAGUAUAGUUAUUUAUAUCGCGACAGCUAUAAACAGUUCCUUGUUCCCAUUAACAAAACAUCCCCUUUUUCUUCGCUCUUCCGGAACCGGUACAGAAAUUGGUGCUUUUUCUACUUUGUUUACGUUAGUGACUGGGGGGUUUCGGGGAAGGCCUAUGUGGGGUACCUUUCGGGUGUGGGAUGCUCGUUUAACUUCUGUAUUCAUCUUGUUCCUUAUUUACCUGGGUGCACUGCGUUUUCAAAAGCUUCCUGUCGAACCGGCUCCUAUUUCAAUCCGUGCUGGACCGAUCGAUAUACCAAUAAUAAAGUCUCCAGUCAACUGGUGGAAUACAUCGCAUCAACCUGGGAGCAUUAGCCGAUCUGGUACAUCAAUACAUGUUCCUAUGCCCAUUCCAAUCUUGUCUAACUUUGCUAACUUCCCCUUCUCUACCCGUAUCUUGUUCGUUCUGGAAACACGUCUUCCUAUUCCAUCUUUUCCCGAAUCUCCCUUAACGGAAGAAAUAGAAGCUCGAGAAGGAAUACCACUAAAAACCUAG
rnacentral:rRNA from 1 species